UCGGUUAGCUCGCUCUUCCCCCCUCCGUUCCUUCUUCUCCGGUAGAAAAUAAACGAGAAGGGACCGCGGGUACGCCUGGUCUUGGGUUUUGGUUUGGUUUUAUUUUUUCUCCCCUUCUGUCCUCUGAAGACGAUGAAAGGAUCACAUGAGGCGCAGGCACGGAGACCCCGGACCCUUGGAAGUCGAAGAAGGCAUCGGACACAUAUAUCUGCCAACUGUCACCAUCACCCAAGGUUUCUCUCAAAGAAAAGAGGAAGGAAAUUUUCUUCCCAAGCUGCUGUCCAGCCGGUCAUUUGACCCUUACAACCACCGAUGGUACUGAAGAACACCCUUUUCAAGCCGCUAAACGCAUCCUAAUUUCCUUUCUUCUUUUUCCCCCGGAGGCUCCGGCGCAACGCAGCGGAGCGAUCUUAUCGCCGUGUGCUCAUUAUUCACCGGUGACAACCAGAGACGCGGAACUCCUAAGUGAGGGUGACAGAUUUCAAACGCGGGGCUGCAGGGUACUCAGUCUCAGACAUAUUCUUCCUCAAACUUUGCCUAGCAAGCAAGUCAGCAUCUUAACCCUUCGUAGCUCUUCCCUUCUCUGGGGCACCGAGAGCCCAACCCGCGGAGAGCGCUUUUUUCAGGGGAGGUGCAGCACACACGGCUACACGGCUGGGGACUGCAUAUUGCGUGUCAUUUUCUACUCUUGGUUAUUUUCAGUUGGAACAAAUCAGAAACGUCAACUCCGGGGAGCAGUUGGAGAGCUGAGUACUUCUCUGUAGUUAAGAGCUGGAAAAAUCCUCUCGGCAAAGCAGAUCUCGGGGACUCACCUGCGGCCCCUACUUUGUCACCGAGUCGAGUAUGCAAAUUGUCACACGCAUCGCAUGAAUCCCUCUCACACACGUAUAUACGAAGCUUCUGCACUUUCCUCAGCAUGGUUUCGCUGAAAGUACAGACUCGAAAGUGCUGUUUCACUCAGAUCUCAGGAUCCAGCUCCUUUACAGGUUAUUAAUUACAACAGAGACAGGAGCAAGUGGGAAAGAAAGAUAUUUCCAUCAAAUAAAAAGUAAUUUUAAAAGCCUUUUUCA
rnacentral:lncRNA from 14 species